GGGCGCUUAGCUCAGUUGGUUUAGAGCACCACCUUGACAGGGUGGGGGUCACUGGUUCGAAUCCAGUAGCGCUCA
rnacentral:tRNA from 1 species